rnacentral:rRNA from 1 species
GACGUAGGAUGCAAGCGUUGUCCGGAUUUAUUGGGCGUAAAGAGUUCGUAGGCGGUUACUUAAGUCUGGUGUUAAAUACUGGAGCUCAACUCCAGCAUGGCAUUGGAAACUGGGUGGCUAGAGUGCGGCAGAGGGGGAUGGGAAUUCCGCGUGUAGCAGUGAAAUGCGUAGAUAUGCGGAGGAACACCGAUGGCGAAGGCAAUCCCCUGGGCCUGCACUGACGCUCAUGCACGAAAGCGUGGGGAGCAAA